AAUGAAGUUCGAGUAGAGCAUUGAGGACCAAAAAUAAAAGUUUUGCAAAAUACAGCUAAGAUAAUCUAUUCAUGAGGUAGAAAAGUCUGAGUGUUUCAAAAUUUCAAAGUUUUGUAAACCGUUAAUUUAUAGUUGUAUAUAAAAAAGAAGAUGUGGUAUGAUUACCACUGAGACAACUGUCCACAAGAGACCAAAAUGACACAGAAAUUUACAACUAUAGGUCACUGUACGGCCUUCAACAAUGAGCAAAGCCCAUACCCCAUAGUCCGCUAUAAAAGGCCAACGAAAUGACAAUGUAAAACAAUUCAAUGAGAAAACUAAUGGCCUUAUUUAUUUAUGACUGUUUUUUUUAAUUCAUGUCAACACAGAAGUGCUGAGUACUGGGCUGGUGAUACCCUCAGUAAAUAAAACCUCCACUAGCAGUAGCAUUUACCCAGUGGUUGUAAAUAAACUCAUCAUAUAUGCCAAGAAAUCUCUCCUGCAACAAUACGUCGCAAUGUCCUCACGGUCAUCACAAUGUAAACUUGAAAUGAAUAAUAAAGGAAUAUAAAUAAAUUAAAAGCAAUAGAAAAAAAUAUAGAUCUUAACUAAAUAAAAAAGGAAAAAGGAAAAGAAAUAAGAAUGAUGUGCCACCAAAAGCUGGAACAGGAGAAGAACAGCAAAGAGCGAACGCAAAGUUAUGGCAGUAAGCCAUCAGCCAAGUAAUGAGUGUUGAAACUUGUGAUGCCAAAUUGUGUAUGCAAAUUUAGUUGUCAAAUGUAUAGUAUAAACCUAAAUGGGUAUAUAUAAUUGCCAGAGAAAGUUUUAUAUGUACAUAAAAAUAUAAAGUUAAGAAA
rnacentral:lncRNA from 1 species